CUGAUCCUCGCCUGCCUGCGCGUUAUAGAUCGUGUGGCGUGGCGGUGCGCUUGGUGGUGGUGCCUUGGUGCUGCUAAUGGUGGAGUGCAGUUUGCUUCUUUAAAUGGUGCCGCCCAGCUUUGCGCGCUCCAAUGGGACGGCCGGGGAGAGGCCAGCGGGAAAAGCGGCGGCCCCGGGCGCACCAGUAAACCGUAUAUGCCCCUCUCCACUCCAAAAGCGGAGGCCGUGUGCCGAUUUAACAACUUGCACACGCAAAAGGAAUCACAGAUGGAUGACCGACGGAUGGAGGAGGUGGUCUCUGUUGGAGUUCACCGGAGGUCCGGAGAGGCAGAGACGAGAGCUUCAGCUGCUGCCUCCUCGCUGCUAAUACAGGGGAAGGGGAAGCCACCGCCCACCAGCGGCGAUGGCCUCCGAACAAUAAUUGCCACUAUUGGUUUCUAG
rnacentral:misc_RNA from 1 species